CGGCGUUCCCAGUGGCAGCCGGAAGGUGAAGGCCUGCAGUAGACCUGUGACCAUGAGGAAAAGCUCCAUCUUGGCCAGCUGCUCGCCCAUGCACCCCCUGCGACCUGAUGCCCAGGAGCGAGAGGAAGCGCUCCGGCUUGAAGCUGUCGGGCUGCUCCCACACGGUGGGAUCUCGAUGGACGGACCAAAGGUUGGGCAGGAGGACUGUUCCUUGUGGGAUCGUGAAGCCCCGGAAGUCUGCCAACGUGUUAGGGAAAAGUAAAAAAUGAAGUGUGGAGUUAAAUUUAGCCAUAUAAUUAAAUACAUGAAAUU